rnacentral:rRNA from 1 species
UACGUAGGGUGCAAGCGUUGUCCGGAAUUAUUGGGCGUAAAGAGCUCGUAGGCGGUCUGUCGCGUCGGCUGUGAAAACCCGGGGCUCAACCCCGGGCCUGCAGUCGAUACGGGCAGACUAGAGUGCGGUAGGGGAGACUGGAAUUCCUGGUGUAGCGGUGAAAUGCGCAGAUAUCAGGAGGAACACCGGUGGCGAAGGCGGGUCUCUGGGCCGUAACUGACGCUGAGGCGCGAAAGCGUGGGGAGCGAUCCGG